AUUGAACGCUGGCGGCAGGCCUAACACAUGCAAGUCGAGCGGAUGAAGGGAGCUUGCUCCUGGAUUCAGCGGCGGACGGGUGAGUAAUGCCUAGGAAUCUGCCUGGUAGUGGGGGAUAACGUCCGGAAACGGGCGCUAAUACCGCAUACGUCCUGAGGGAGAAAGUGGGGGAUCUUCGGACCUCACGCUAUCAGAUGAGCCUAGGUCGGAUUAGCUAGUUGGUGGGGUAAAGGCCUACCAAGGCGACGAUCCGUAACUGGUCUGAGAGGAUGAUCAGUCACACUGGAACUGAGACACGGUCCAGACUCCUACGGGAGGCAGCAGUGGGGAAUAUUGGACAAUGGGCGAAAGCCUGAUCCAGCCAUGCCGCGUGUGUGAAGAAGGUCUUCGGAUUGAAAGCACUUUAAGUUGGGAGGAAGGGCAGUAAGUUAAUACCUUGCUGUUUUGACGUUACCAACAGAAUAAGCACCGGCUAACUUCGUG
rnacentral:rRNA from 1 species